rnacentral:lncRNA from 1 species
CACCAUACCGUUCCCUAGGGGACGACGAACAUGGCUAGGGAAUGCCACUACGGCACGCGCUCGCCAGUUUACCCUGGGCCUCGCACUCGCGGGGGCUGGGCACUGUGCCUUGGCAUGGGUCCAUCGUGGGGACGUUGGAGACCUAGAGAAUUGGGUCGUGGGUCGCGGGCGCACUCCAUGCAUGUGUCCCCUUAUCAAGGCCAUGGGGGCAUGUACUUCUCCUGCAAUGCCCAGAUGCAAGUGGACAAGCACGUGUCAUCAAGAUAAUGUGCCUCCUCCGCAAUAUUACGC